rnacentral:rRNA from 1 species
UAGGGAAUCUUCGGCAAUGGGGGCAACCCUGACCGAGCAACGCUGCGUGAGUGAAGAAGGUUUUCGGAUCGUAAAGCUCUGUUGUAAGAGAAGAACGUGUGUGAGAGUGGAAAGUUCACACAGUGACGGUAACUUACCAGAAAGGGACGGCUAACUACGUGCCAGCAGCCGCGGUAAUACGUAGGUCCGGAGCGUUGUCCGGAUUUAUUGGGCGUAAAGCGAGCGCAGGCGGUUUAAUAAGUCUGAAGUUAAAGGCAGUGGCUUAACCAUUGGUCGCUUUGGAAACUGUUAAACUUGAGUGCAGAAGGGGAGGGUGGAAUUCCAUGUGUAGCGGUGAAAUGCGUAGAUAUAUGGAGGAACACCGGUGGCGAAAGCGGCUCUCUGGUCUGUAACUGACGCUGAGGCUCGAAAGCGUGGGGAGCAAACAGG